UCGCUGAUGGAUGGACCCGCGGUGCAUUAGCUAGUUGGUGAGGUAACGGCUCACCAAGGCGACGAUGCAUAGCCGACCUGAGAGGGUGAUCGGCCACAUUGGGACUGAGACACGGCCCAAACUCCUACGGGAGGCAGCAGUAGGGAAUCUUCGGCAAUGGACGAAAGUCUGACCGAGCAACGCCGCGUGAGUGAAGAAGGUUUUCGGAUCGUAAAACUCUGUUGUUAGAGAAGAACAAGGAUGAGAGUAACUGUUCAUCCCUUGACGGUAUCUAACCAGAAAGCCACGGCUAACUACGUGCCAGCAGCCGCGGUAAUACGUAGGUGGCAAGCGUUGUCCGGAUUUAUUGGGCGUAAAGUGAGCGCAGGCGGUUUCUUAAGUCUGAUGUGAAAGCCCCCGGCUCAACCGGGGAGGGUCAUUGGAAACUGGGAGACUUGAGUGCAGAAGAGGAGAGUGGAAUUCCAUGUGUAGCGGUGAAAUGCGUAGAUAUAUGGAGGAACACCAGUGGCGAAGGCGGCUCUCUGGUCUGUAACUGACGCUGAGGCUCGAAAGCGUGGGGAGCAAACAGGAUUAGAUACCCUGGUAGUCCACGCCGU
rnacentral:rRNA from 1 species